CCUACGGGAGGCAGCAGUGGGGAAUAUUGGACAAUGGGCGAAAGCCUGAUCCAGCCAUGCCGCGUGUGUGAAGAAGGCCUUCGGGUUGUAAAGCACUUUCAGUGGGGAAGAAAGCCUUGGGGCUAAUACCCUCGAGGAAGGACAUCACCCACAGAAGAAGCACCGGCUAACUCCGUGCCAGCAGCCGCGGUAAUACGGAGGGUGCGAGCGUUAAUCGGAAUUACUGGGCGUAAAGCGCGCGUAGGCGGUCUGAUAAGCCGGUUGUGAAAGCCCCGGGCUCAACCUGGGAACGGCAUCCGGAACUGUCAGGCUAGAGUGCAUGGGAGGAAGGUAGAAUUCCCAGUGUAGCGGUGAAAUGCGUAGAGAUCGGGAGGAAUACCAGUGGCGAAGGCGGCCUUCUGGACUGACACUGACGCUGAGGUGCGAAAGCGUGGGUAGCAAACAGGAUUAGAUACCCUAGUAGUC
rnacentral:rRNA from 1 species